rnacentral:lncRNA from 1 species
UCAUCAUAUGCCUCUAUUUAAGGUCAUAUCCUUAUCCUUAUCUAAGGUCAUAUCCUUAUCCUUAGAAUGACCUUAACUCCUUAAACUUAAAGUCUAACAUCACACUAUCUAUCAACUUCAUUCGCAGGCACUCUAUCUUCCUUCCAUCGUUUACAAUAAUUGUCUCCACCCUCCUAAGCGUAAAUUUUAAGUUGUCUCCAACGAGCAUGUCCAAACCACCAUAAUCUUUAUUUCAUAAUUUCUCGUUGUUUGACACCACUUCUAGUGGGUUUCUAAUUGUCAAGUUGAUAACACGAUUAAUUGGGUUCUACCACAAACACACCACAACAUCCUCAUUUAUGCGACCUCUCAUGUUCCUUCUUAGUUGGAUACCAUUCAAAUCCAUACAACAUACCUAGGAUUAUGUCCACCCUAAAAAAAUUUCCUUUUUGGUUUCAAUGGGAGCUUCUUGUCAUACAAAACUCUAGUGACUGCCCUCUACUUUAUCCGCCUUGCUUUUAUACACUCGAUAACAUUAUCCUCAACACCCUCAUCCUUAUGAGUCAUAGACCCCGAGUACUUGAAGCUCUUCUUUAGUUGUAUGAUUUGCUGACCGAUGCACACUUAUACCCUUUCACUAUGUUGCUCCCCACUAAAACUGCACCAUACGUAAUUAGUCUUAGUUGUGUUGAUCCUAAUCCAUUUAUUAUCCAUGUUGUUAGUCUAUGUAUCCAACCCAACUUUCUAUUCAACCCUAUAUUCUAUAACCAAAACAAUGUCACAUGCGAAACCAUAAACCAUGGCACCUCACCUUAUAACUGAUGAUAUACCUCGCCGUAAUAAGAGAAAACAUGUAAGGGCUAAGUGUCAAAUGCUAAUGAAGGCUUACUCCAAGAGGGAAGACUUUGUGUCACAAACUACAGUUCAUACACUUAUCAUAGACCUUCGAUAUAUUCGGACCCUUCUAGAUUCUAAAGUCCUUUAUGUAUGAUUUUUCUAUAUAGAUAAACACCAUAUGUAAGUUCCUAUUUCUUCCCUCCUUUGUACAAGAACCUUAUUCGAGAAAGUCUUGGCGCGUAAAAAUUCAUAAUAGGGAUUUUUUCCUAGUAGUCAUGAUCACAAGUUGCACUCAGAUGAGCACAAUGAUUAAUGAAGUCGAACAACAUAUAUGGAACUAAAUUAGGAUAUUUACAAUAUAUUUCUUAGGUAAAAUGGUAUAAAAGACACUAUAUUAUCACUUUUUGAUUUUUUAUUUAUUUUGAUACUUGAUUUUUUUUUGUUAUGAAUUGAACAUCAUAUUAUUAAACCAUAUUGCAAAUUUGAUUAUAUUAAGUUAAUUAGUAACAAAGAGUUUUCCUGUCAUUUUUUAGUUUAAACACACAUUUCUUAGAUGCGUUGCAUUUCAAUAUUAUGUUAGUAAUAAAAAAAACUUUAGUAAAACAACCAUAAUUAUUGAUUUAUCCCUAAAAUAUAAUAAAUAAUGCGCUCAUUUUUAAGCUAAUGGGGUCGAUUUUAUACUUUUAUUACUGAAUCCUAUUUUAUAACAAACUUUUCUUCGUUAAUCGCUUAAAUUCUUCUCCACUCUCAUCACUUCUAACUUUCUAAACAGUGGAAGUGGAUGCUUCUCUGCCGCCCAAGCAAACGUAAACAAAAAUGAAGCACUUAUUCGCAUCAAGCACCUACAAACUUGCAGAUUCUCCAAUAAUUUUGACGUCGAUUGAUGAUUUUUAAUUUCUCGUGAAAUUGAAGGGGCGUAAAUGUUUUUGUAGAGAUAAUGAUUUGGUCGCAUCCAUCGAUGAUUGCAUAUGGAGAUGAAGAGACAUAUUAUGAAGAUGAUAAUCAACAUGAGAGUUUUCAUCUCGGAGAAUGCUACUAUGAGAUCAUGUCUGUUAAAUGAGAAGAAUCUGUUUCUUUUCUCUGAUAUGGAUCUCGAAGAAAUCAAUCUCUUCAAUGUAUUUUUGACGGAAUCUUGUCAUUCUUACUUGAUUUCCUUCAAUCGCUUUCUGAACUAAUUGCUAAAAUUAUCACUAUUUCUUCUAUAAUUGCAUUGAAUUUGUGUAUAUCCGAUAUGUACUCUUUUGGAUAUGAGAAAUCUAGUUAGGUUUUAUAUUUGUAUGAUUGAUGUUUGUAAAUUAAUUUAUGAAUUUACUGAUACAUUCCAUUAGUUGAUAGAAAAACUAGAUGUUGCGUUUGCAGAGUUAUCAAGUUAGGUUUCUU